GAGGUGAUGCGGCAUCACAGCGACCUCUACAAAGUCCAUGGUUCGAGGGCCGGCCAACCACCCGGAGCGCGUAGUACGGCGGCCCGUUGUGGUUGUUGUAGAGGUCGGCAUCAGAGAAAGAGUCAACAUGGAUAGCGGCUGAGAGGUGUGGGGAAGGGCCGGGGACAGGAUGACCUACUCUCCUGUGGAGGACGACGCUGUUCUGGCCAGCACUACGAGCGACGAAGGCAGGGUC
rnacentral:lncRNA from 1 species